GUGUGUUCCAGGUAAAUCCGGUUCACUUUAACACUGAGGCGUGACGACGAGGCACUACGGUGCUGAAGCAACAAAUGCCCUGCUUCCAGGAAAAGCCUCUAAGCAUCAGGUAACAUCAAAUCGUACCCCAAACCGACACAGGUGGUCAGGUAGAGAAUACCAAGGCGCUUGAGAGAACUCGGGUGAAGGAACUAGGCAAAAUGGUGCCGUAACUUCGGGAGAAGGCACGCUGACACGUAGGUGAAGUGAUUUACUCAUGGAGCUGAAGUCAGUCGAAGAUACCAGCUGGCUGCAACUGUUUAUUAAAAACACAGCACUGUGCAAACACGAAAGUGGACGUAUACGGUGUGACGCCUGCCCGGUGCCGGAAGGUUAAUUGAUGGGGUCAGCGCAAGCGAAGCUCCUGAUCGAAGCCCCGGUAAACGGCGGCCGUAACUAUAACGGUCCUAAGGUAGCGAAAUUCCUUGUCGGGUAAGUUCCGACCUGCACGAAUGGCGUAAUGAUGGCCAGGCUGUCUCCACCCGAGACUCAGUGAAAUUGAACUCGCUGUGAAGAUGCAGUGUACCCGCGGCAAGACGGAAAGACCCCGUGAACCUUUACUAUAGCUUGACACUGAACAUUGAGCCUUGAUGUGUAGGAUAGGUGGGAGGCUUUGAAGUGUGGACGCCAGUCUGCAUGGAGCCGACCUUGAAAUACCACCCUUUAAUGUUUGAUGUUCUAACGUGGACCCGUUACCCGGGUUGCGGACAGUGUCUGGUGGGUAGUUUGACUGGGGCGGUCUCCUCCUAAAGAGUAACGGAGGAGCACGAAGGUUGGCUAAUCCUGGUCGGACAUCAGGAGGUUAGUGCAAUGGCAUAAGCCAGCUUGACUGCGAGCGUGACGGCGCGAGCAGGUGCGAAAGCAGGUCAUAGUGAUCCGGUGGUUCUGAAUGGAAGGGCCAUCGCUCAACGGAUAAAAGGUACUCCGGGGAUAACAGGCUGAUACCGCCCAAGAGUUCAUAUCGACGGCGGUGUUUGGCACCUCGAUGUCGGCUCAUCACAUCCUGGGGCUGAAGUAGGUCCCAAGGGUAUGGCUGUUCGCCAUUUAAAGUGGUACGCGAGCUGGGUUUAGAACGUCGUGAGACAGUUCGGUCCCUAUCUGCCGUGGGCGCUGGAGAACUGAGGGGGGCUGCUCCUAGUACGAGAGGACCGGAGUGGACGCAUCACUGGUGUUCGGGUUGUCAUGCCAAUGGCACUGCCCGGUAGCUAAAUGCGGAAGAGAUAAGUGCUGAAAGCAUCUAAGCACGAAACUUGCCCCGAGAUGAGUUCUCCCUGAGACUUAGAGUCUCCUGAAGGAACGUUGAA
rnacentral:rRNA from 1 species